CCUACGGGAGGCAGCAGUGAGGGAUAUUGCGCAAUGGGCGAAAGCCUGACGCAGCGACGCCGCGUGGGCGAGGAAGGCCUUCGGGUCGUAAAGCUCUGUCAGAGGGGAAGAAAUGCAGGUGGUGAACAACCAUUCUGUUUGACGGUACCCUCAAAGGAAGCACCGGCUAACUCCGUGCCAGCAGCCGCGGUAAUACGGAGGGUGCGAGCGUUGUUCGGAAUUAUUGGGCGUAAAGCGCGUGUAGGCGGUUUGUUAAGUCUGAUGUAAAAGCCCCGGGCUCAACCUGGAAAGUGCAUUGGAUACUGGCAGACUUGAGUACGGGAGAGGAGAGUGGAAUUCCCAGUGUAGGAGUAAAAUCCGUAGAUAUUGGGAGGAACACCAUUGGCGAAGGCGGCUUUCUGGGCUGACCCUGACGCUGAGACGCGAAAGCAGGGGGAGCAAACCGGAUUAGAUCCCCCUGUAGU
rnacentral:rRNA from 1 species